rnacentral:rRNA from 1 species
GAAUAUUGCGCAAUGGCCGAAAGGCUGACGCAGCGACGCCGCGUGUGGGAGGAAGCCCUUCGGGGUGUAAACCACUGUCGGAGGGGAAGAAACGCGUGCUCUCGAAUAGGGAGCGCGUUUGACGGUACCCUCAACGGAAGCGCCGGCUAACUCCGUGCCAGCAGCCGCGGUAAGACGGAGGGCGCAAGCGUUGUUCGGAAUUACUGGGCGUAAAGCGCGCGCAGGCGGUCUUCUAAGUCCCUUGUGAAAUUCCGGGGCUCAACCCCGGAGAUGCGUGGGAUACUGGUUGACUGGAGAACGGUAGAGGCUAGCGGAAUUCCUGGUGUAGCGGUGGAAUGCGUAGAUAUCAGGAGGAACACCGGUGGCGAAGGCGGCUAGCUGGGCCGUUUCUGACGCUCAUGUGCGAAAGCGUGGGGAGCAAACAGG